rnacentral:lncRNA from 1 species
AUGGCGCGGGCGCGGGCGGCGGGCGCGCGGGGCCGGCCCGGGCGCUGCGGGCUGGGCGGGCGCUGCGGGCGCCGCGCGCUGCUGGCCUGCGCCGCGUGGACCGCGGGCUGGGUGCUGGCGGCCGCGCUGCUGCUCCGCGCGCACCCGGGCGUCCCCUCCGAGCGCUGCACCGACGAGAAGAGCCGGCGCAUCCUGGCCGCGCUGUGCCAGGACUACCGGGGCGGCGCGCUGGGCGGAGACCUGUGCGAGGACCUGUGCGAGGCGGGGCAGCUGCGGUACCGGCGCUGCCUGUACUACGAGCGCGGCAAGAAGGUGCUGCAAGCCGACUGGCGCGGCCGGCCCGUGGUCCUCAAGUCCAAGGAGGAGGCCUUCUCCAGCUUCCCGCCGCUCGGCCUCCUGGACGGGCAGCCCGAGGCCGGCGGCCAGGACUUGCCGGAGGCUGAGCUGCUGGCGCUGGCGGCCGGGGAGGCCCGGAGCGCGCUGGGCCUGGAGCCGGCCGAGGGCGGCCUGGGCCGGCUGGGGCUGGCGCGGCGGGGCCCCCGGCGGCGGGGCCAGCUGGCCAGCCUGUGGGCGCUGCUGCGGCAGGAGGAGUUCGUGCUGCUCAGCCUGCUCCGCGGCCGCAGCCCGCACGCCCCGCCCGUGCUGGGCUCCUGCGGCCCCUUCUACGCCGUGGAGCACCUGGCGGCGGGCAGCCCCGGCCACCGCGCCCUCUUCCCGCUCGGCCCGGACGGCGGGCGCCGCGGCCAGGCGCGCGCGGUCAGCGGCGUGGCGCUCAGCUUCCUGGACAUGGUCCGCCACUUCGACCACGACUUCGCCCACCGCCUGCACCUCUGCGACGUCAAGCCCGAGAACUUCGCCAUCCGGAGCGACUUCACGGUGGUGGCUAUCGAUGUGGACAUGGCUUUUUUCGAACCUAAGAUGAGGGAAAUUCUCGAGCAGAACUGCACGAGGGAUGAAGACUGCAAUUUCUUUGAUUGUUUUUCAAAGUGUGAUCUGCGAGUGCACAGGUGUGGGGCCCAGAGAGCCAACAGCAACCUGCAGGUGGUCUGCGACAAGAUCUUCCGCCACUGGUUCUCCUCGCCCCUCGGCAGCUCCGCGGUGUCGGGCCCGCUGCGGGGGCAGCUGCGGGCGGCAGUGCAGGAGUGCGCGGCCCCUGGCACCCAGGGCGCACCCCGCGUGCUCGGGAGGCUGCGAAGCCUGCUCCAGGCUGUGCUGCGGGAGCUGCGGGAUGGCGAGGAGCCGCGCCCCGGGGUGAGGAGCCGUCUGCACGGGGACCCUCACCGUGGGACCCCCGGCGCUGCUCGGAAGGCCCCAGCCGUCUUCGGCAAUCACCCCUUCGAGUGACAGGAGGGACGGGUCUGGCGCCGGGGUCUCCCCUGUGCGGGAGCAGGAGUGCCCACCAGGCCCUGCAGACCCCCAGUGCAACAGUGUGUACAGGAGUGUGCGCAUGCAUGUGCACGAGUGUGCGUGAGCGCAUGGCCGUGAGAGUUGUGCAGGUGUGUGGAUGUGUGU